UACGUAGGGUGCGAGCGUUAAUCGGAAUUACUGGGCGUAAAGCGUGCGCAGGCGGUUUUGUAAGCCAGAUGUGAAAUCCCCGGGCUUAACCUGGGAAUGGCAUUUGGGACUGCAAGGCUCGAGUGCGGCAGAGGAGACUGGAAUUCCUGGUGUAGCAGUGAAAUGCGUAGAGAUGCGGAGGAACACCGAUGGCGAAGGCAGCCCCCCUGGGCUAACACUGACGCUCAGGCACGAAAGCGUGGGGAGCAAACAGG
rnacentral:rRNA from 1 species